AUUGAACGCUGGCGGCAGGCCUACCACAUGCAAGUCGAGCGGAGCGGCGGACGGGUGAGUAAUGCCUAGGAAUCUGAAAGGUAGUGGGGGAGAACGUACGGAGACGGGCGCUAAUACAGCAUACUAUCAGAUGGGACUAGGUCUGAUUAUCUAGUUGGGGGGGUAAAGGCCUACCAAGGCGAGUAUCCGUAACUCGUCUGAGAGGAUGAUCAGUAAAUCUGAAACUGGGACACGGUCCCGACUCCUGCGGUAGGCAGCACUGGGGAAUAUUGGACCAUGGACGAAUGCCUGAUCCAGCCAUGCCGCAUGUGUGAAGAAGAUCUUCGGAUUGUAAAGCCCUUUAAGUUGGGAGGCGUUACCAACAGAAUAAGCACCGGCUAACUUCGUGCCAGCAGCCGCGGUAAUAC
rnacentral:rRNA from 1 species